UUUUCGCAAUGUGAAUGUAAUAUGGUUGCAUUUGUUGGGGUUUGCUUUUAUUUGUUUAACUUGCAGCCACUUUUCUAUUUUUGUGGUGUGUUCUUGUAGUAAUGUGACUGCCGUUUCUGGAUUUUCGUGCCUCGCUAGUAUGACCGUAUCGUCCGCGAACGUUAGUGUUUUGCUGUUGCAAGUUGUCGGUAUGUCUGCCGUAUAUAGUGUGUAUAGUAUUGGUCCUAGGACGCUUCCUUGCGGUACUCCUGCCUUGAUAUCCUUAAUUUCAGAAUAUGCAUCAUUUAUUUUUACUACAAAGGUUCUAUUGUUUAAGCAAGAUUUGAGUAGUUUGUAGAUUUGUUCUGGAAAUUGCUUUUUGAUCGUUUGAAGAAGUUUUCCAUCGUUAACUUUGUCGAAUGCUUUUUCAAUGUCCAUAAAGAGUGCCGUGCAAUAUUGUUUUGUUUCCAAUGGCUGUAAGAUUUCGUUGACGAGUCUAUGCAUUUGUUCUAUUGUGGAGUGUUUAUUCCUGAAUCCAAAUUGAUGCUCCGGUGUUAGUUUUUCUCUUUCUAUUGUUGGUUUUAGGCGGUUAUAUACUAUUUUUUCUAGUAGUUUGAAAAACGCAGGUGGUAAUGAUAUUGGCCUGUAGGAUGCAGUUAAGUGUGGGUUUUUGUUUGCUUUGGGUAACAUUACUAUCUGUGCUAUUUUCCAUUGUGCAGGAAAAUACUGUAUUCUUAGAAUUGCGUUGAAUAUUAUCGUUGGUAGUCUUAAUGCCUUUGGGGGGAGGUUUUUUAAGAUUUUUCCAUUGAUCAAGUCAAAUCCUGGUGCUUUACUUGUCUUUGUUGCCUUAAUUAACUUUGUAACUUCUUACGCUGUUGUGCCGAGUAUGGUGCAGCGUUUGUCAGUUGUGUUGUUGGCAUUUUCCACUUUCCAGCGUAAAUGUGUUUCGAAUAUUAAAAUAUCAAAUAUUGACACUUAUUUAUUUAUUCAAUAUUAUUAAUAUUAUAAAAUAUGAGAAUAUCAAAAGAAAAUACAUAAUAAUAUAAAAUUAUAAAUUCUCUCAUCUCUUGCAGAAUAAGGUCCCUGUCAAAAUAAGAAGUCUGUCUGCCGAAACAAAAUAUCCUAAGAGAAAUCGAUGUAUCGCGCCUGUAAAAUUCAGCAGCAUAUUUCUACUCUGUAGGGGGAAAUCUGUAAUCUGAGAGAUUUCUGGAAACAUGAGGACCUCAGGCCUCCCUCAGGAUCGUACAACGUUAAUUUAGAGCUGCUUCUUUCCAUCUUCAAAGAACUCACAUCUAUAUAUAAUUAUUAUAUCAAAUCAAAAAUACUUCUGUCCAACUAUGUAAUUGUGUGUUUUUACGAAUUUUAUAGCGCAGCCUUCCUGAGCAAAUCCCUAUCGAACGAUUCCUGGCAAAUAUGUAACGUCGGAAACGUGUAAUUAAACGCCUAGGCGAAACAACUUUUUGCCAAGAAAUGUGCGAUUAGUGGUAAUUACUUUAUUAACCUACUUCCAGUCGCAACUUGCGUUCACUCGCUCGCACGACAAUCCUACAGCGAUGAAUUCAAAUCUAUAAGCAAGCAGGCUUGCCGAUAUUACAGCAAGUAGAUGACAAGAACUGCGAAAUCUCGAACGAGUUGGCUGUAUGUACGUUGGAUGCUCUCGGUCGAAAACAUCCAAACACUGAAACAAAUAAAACGAAACUUUGGAUCUGGCAAACGAGAAAAGGAUUUGAGCGCAUGGCCCUUCGUUCCCGAGGAAUUAAUCGAGAAAUUACGUUUUUGGCGCAGCAGCUUCUUGUGUUUUAAAACGCUAAACCUUAGCAGGUCGAAUGAACGCUUUCAAAAUUGAAUUUAAAGUCGUGCGUUCGUUGUUAUUUCUUUCGUUCCUCUAACUUUCUCUAAAUUCUUACGUUUAUCUGAUUAAUCAAUUUCUCAAUUUUUGUUAAUACAAUUUGCACAAAGCUAGACGAAUAAAAGAAAUAGCAACGAAAGUACGACUUUAGAUUCAAUUUUGAAACCAGUUACAAUUUCCAUCCGCAAAAUCGUAAAAAUACGCAGUGAUAGUAUAACAAAUAGAAAUAAACAAAGACUUAAUAUAUAAGAUAGAUCGUAGGAAUUUAAUAUUUAAAAAAAUGAUAUUAAUAUCGAAAGAAUUUAUAAAGCGUAAGAUAUGGUCCCUGGUGUUUCCCCGAAAUUGUCGAGAAGCUUCUCCCACUCUGAAUCUUAUCGUUUCAAUAUUUUCAAUAGCUUUGCUCUGCUUACAAAAUUCGUUGUAUCUCGAACGAAGAAGAUAGAGCAUAUGCUUUUACGAAGUUUCUUCAUUGUUUUUAGAUGCACAAUCAGCUCUGCAAGUGGGGCCCACAUGUUACGUCACAUCCUGUGUACGCAAAAAGUUUCUGUAAAUGGCCAAAUAUUUUCGCGAGCAACUGUACGUGGACACGAAUUCGCAGUCGUGAAUUAUUCGAAUUCAAGUUGCUCAGCUUGCUCGAGUGAAACUGCUGCAAGUAAAAUUUAAUUGAAGAGGCGCUUAAGAGCAUCUUUCACGAUGCUGCGUCUCGACAAACAGCAAAAAGAGGAAGAACUCGUGUAUCUGCCAAUUUGCAUACGCAUAGCGAGCAUAAAAUUCCGCCUCGUACGAUCUUUCUGAUUCUCUCGAGUCAGUUGGGCGAGUUACGUUAGACUCGCGUAAUCCCGCAACGUUUCAUACACUGCCGUCCACGAGUCACCGAACACUUGCUCGUUUUGCGCAGGAUGAUUUUUACAAUGUAAAUAUACGAUUUCUCGACCGACUUCGUUGUUUAUCUUUAAGCUACUUACAGUCUAUUUAAAGCGUGCGCGAUUUAUUUAUCGUGCUAUGAAAUAAUCUGUAGAUAUCGUGAAGCGAAAUUAGCGUUUACGUGGAACGUUGAAAUUGCAUAACGUUAAAGGUAUGUACGCCACCGGGUAUAAGCAUUAUAUAAGACAUUUGCAAAUUAUCGCAAAUAUACGAAAUAUACAUCGAUUAAA